UACAGAGGGGGCAAGCGUUAUUCGGAAUUAUUGGGCGUAAAGGGCGCGUAGGCGGCCUGACAAGUGGAAGGUGAAAUCCCUCGGCUUAACCGAGGAACUGCCCUCCAAACUGUUUGGCUUGAGACCGGGAGAGGUGAGUGGAAUUCCCAGUGUAGCGGUGAAAUGCGCAGAUAUCAGGAGGAACACCAAUGGCGAAGGCAGCUCGCUGGGACGUGACUGACGCUGAGACGCGAAAGCGUGGGGAGCAAACAGG
rnacentral:rRNA from 1 species